ACAUGUCAGACAGAUCCACUGUAGUGCAGUCAGUGGACAGUUAACAAUACUGGUCAGACGAAUGAGACAAACCUUUACCUUGAUCUGAAUGCAGAACCAGCAUGGAUACAAGGAUAUACUGGAAUUGGAAUAUUAGUUGGUGUCGUGGAUGAUGGAGUGCAGCAUACUCAUACUGACCUGAGGAAUAACUAUG